rnacentral:rRNA from 1 species
AUACGGAGGAUCCGAGCGUUAUCCGGAUUUAUUGGGUUUAAAGGGAGCGUAGGUGGACAGUUAAGUCAGUUGUGAAAGUUUGCGGCUCAACCGUAAAAUUGCAGUUGAUACUGGUUGUCUUGAGUACAGUAGAGGUGGGCGGAAUUCGUGGUGUAGCGGUGAAAUGCUUAGAUAUCACGAAGAACUCCGAUUGCGAAGGCAGCUCACUGGACUGCAACUGACACUGAUGCUCGAAAGUGUGGGUAUCAAACAGGAUUAGAUACCCUGGUAGUCCGCACAGUAAACGAUGAAUACUCGCUGUUUGCGAUACACUGUAAGCGGCCAAGCGAAAGCGUUAAGUAUUCCACCUGGGGAGUACGCCGGCAACGGUGAAACUCAAAUGAAUUGACGGGG